GAUGGAUGGAUGAUUACUAUGUCACAGAUGGAUGGAUGAUUACUAUGUCACAGAUGGAUGGAUGAUUACUAUGUCACAGAUGGAUGGAUGAUUACUAUGUCACAGAUGGAUGGAUGAUUACUAUGUCACAGAUGGAUGGAUGAUUACUAUGUCACAGAUGGAUGGAUGAUUACUAUGUCACAGAUGGAUGGAUGAUUACUAUGUCACAGAUGGAUGAUUACUAUGUCACAGAUGGAUGGAUGAUUACUAUGUCACAGAUGGAUGGAUGAUUACUAUGUCACGGAUGGAUGAUUACUAUGUCACAGAUGGAUGGAUGAUUACUAUGUCACAGAUGGAUGGAUGAUUACUAUGUCACAGGUGGAUGAUUACUAUGUCACAGAUGGAUGGAUGAUUACUAUGUCACAGGUGGAUGAUUACUAUGUCACAGAUGGAUGGAUGAUUACUAUGGCACAGGUGGAUGAUUACUAUGUCACAGAUGGAUGGAUGAUUACUAUGUCACAGGUGGAUGAUUACUAUGUCACAGAUGGAUGGAUGAUUAUUAUGUCACAGGUGGAUGAUUACUAUGUCACAGAUGGAUGGAUGAUUAUUAUGUCACAGGUGGAUUAUUACUAUGUCACAGAUGGAUGGAUGAUUACUAUGUCACAGAUGGAUAGAUGAUUACUAUUGCAGAUUACUGUCACAUCCGUCUAAAUGGUGAUUAUUACAGGUCUCUAUGGGGAUCAUCAUACUACAGGUUCCCGUUUGAUGUCUUAUGGGAGGCCUAGUGAUCAUUCUAGGGUUUCUGAGGACAUCCCUGUUUAAGAUGAGUCGGCAUAUGUAAAAUAAAGUUAUUUAAGUUAAGAAUGAAGUUAAGAAUGUAUUUGGAGAUGGGGACUUAGGCUUAGUAUUUGAGCCUGUGUAGGAUGUGGAACAUCAGUGAUACUUUACCAGACAAUGUUUCAUAAAUGUUUGUAAAGUAAAAUAAAAAUCCUAACCAAUUGUAUGAAACAGUCCAUGUAGGCUAAGCCAUUAAAUAAUAAAACCUAU